CUGCUCUGUUGACUGUCGCCGUGGUAACGGGGCGGCUGACACACUGUUUGAAUGGAUCUACAGUCCAACUGUCAGAGCUGCAGAAUGCCUCAGGAACAAAAACUACCUCCAGCGGGACCCGCCCCUCCCUCCUCCAGCUGAGCCCUCCAGCUGUUUGUGGACAGCGGACGUCAUGCAAAUGAGCCUCAGACUCCAGCCAAUGAGAAGCAGAGAAGCUGAGAGGAGGACAAACAUGGAGGAUGAUAAAGAAUCUGUUACUUCAACUGAAACUGAAACAAACAGCUGAUCCGUCUUAUCAACACUCUCACUGCACCUUUAAUUCACACUCGUCAACACAACCUGAGCUAAAUCAACAUGUUAGUAUAUUUGCAUGACCUCUGACCUCUGUUCUCUGUGUCACCAUGGCAGCAGCUGUAUGUCCUGGUACAGAUGUUACAGAUGUUACAGAUGUUCCAUUUAUUAUUAUGAAAUGAAGCAUCGUGAGUCUGUCUCAUGAUUGGUUGACAGUUGUCGUCUGAUGAUCAGGUGAUAAAUGUCGCUCAAUAGAUAUUAAAAAGUUGCGCAACGUUUUCAA